UACGUAGGGGGCAAGCGUUGUCCGGAAUUAUUGGGCGUAAAGAGCGCGUAGGCGGUUCGAUAAGUCCCGUGUGAAAGCCCCCGGCUCAACUGGGGAACUGCACGGGAAACUGACGGACUUGAGUUCGGGAGAGGGAAGCGGAAUUCCGGGUGUAGCGGUGAAAUGCGUAGAUAUCCGGAGGAACACCAGUGGCGAAGGCGGCUUCCUGGCCUGUUCUUGACGCUGAGGCGCGAAAGCUAGGGGAGCAAACGGG
rnacentral:rRNA from 1 species